rnacentral:lncRNA from 1 species
UAGCAACUAGAGGAAGGAUCCAAAGGGAUCGCAUUGAUCCUAAACUAAGAGGUGGAUUCUCCACUCAUUUGUUUUCUUAAUAAUUAGCAAACAAAUCACAAAAAAAAUUGCUUGGUUUUGGAUCAUGCCAUCUCUUUGGAUUCAUCCUUGGGUAGCUUCAUUCCUCUUUCGGUCAGGCUGUUUUAUAAAUCAACCGUCCUCAUGAUUCAUCGGAGACCUUUCUAGCUUAAAGACUCCCCAAGCUUUCAUCUCAAGCCAACAUUAAUACAGGUAUACGAACUCUCUCUUUCUUACGGUUAAGUUUCAAAUAGUUUUGACCUAAUUAGCAUGCAAAACCAAGAAAAGAAAGAAAAUAACUCAUCUACCUGAGUUUUUUCUUCUUCUUAAUUGCAUUUUUGGAUCGAAUCUAUAUACUAUGAAAGAUAUGUCUUUAUAUAAUUAAUGAUUCUAUGAAGUACGUCAUUAUACAUUAUUUAUCGUUGGUUAAAAUUUCCCUGAAAAUACCUCCAUAUAUAUAUAUAUGGCCAUUUCCGAAACUUUCUUUCUUCUAAUAGAUUGUUAUAUUUAUAAAUUUUACAUUCAUUCGAGACUCUACUUUGUUACUUAUGCUUACUCUACUUCUUGGUUUAAAAUCCCAGAGUCGUUGGAUCUCGUAAAAUGACUCACCAGAAAGAACUUUGACUAAAGAAAAGGACUUAUUGGUUAAAUAUAAUGUCCGUAUUAGUAUUAUUGUGUUGUUAGAUUCAAAUCUGAUAUAAGAACAAUUUGACAUCUUACCCUAAUCAGGUACUCAGUUUGUUUAAUUAUUUUACUGGCUCUAAUCUAGCGCCUAAUAAUUUUAGUUUACAAAUUAAUAUUAAAAAGUCAAAUUUUUUGGGAAUAGAAUAAUCUAAAAACUCCAAAGUAAGACUGCGAACUAUUUGAAAAUAGCAGCUCGCGAAUUCAUUUGAGGACAAUAUCAUUAGUUCCAUGGUAUGGUUGACUAAUUAAUAUUAAUGCACAUCGUAUGGAUACACAUAUAUUGAUAUAUAUAUCAUAUUAUACCAAAUGCAUAUCUUUACUUUUCAUUCGUACAAUCAAUUUUCUCCCCCAUAAUGGAAUAAAAAAAGCUAAUCAGUUUGUAUAAACUACAUAAACAAAACAAAUUGAAACUAGCAUUUGAGUUGUAGAGAGAAGGAACACAAUUAUGGCAUAGAAUUUGAUGUUGUUAAGGUGCCAAAGAUUUUGGUGGACCGAAAGAUAUGGAAGAAGAGGACGAUAUGCUAUAUAUGUAUUUUGUUCAUAUAUGCGACAUUUGAAAUUCCAUUGUCUCCUUCUACCCCUACACAUUUUGCUAUUUACGUUUGCCCUUAUUUUUUUUUUUUUACGGUUAUUUGUUCCAAGAUACAUUUAGUACAUACAACAAAAUUUUACUUUUAUUAUAAAGAAGAGUUAAGAAAUUUUCCUGUGGUGAAACUGUGAGCCAAAGUUUUCUUAUGGUGAUUUUACACAUUCAUAAAUUAAC